AGCGAACGCUGGCGGCAGGCUUAACACAUGCAAGUCGAGCGGGCACUUUCGGGUGUCAGCGGCGGACGGGUGCGUAACGCGUGGGAACGUGCCCUCUGGUUCGGAAUAACUCAGGGAAACUUGAGCUAAUACCGGAUACGCCCUUUUGGGGAAAGGCUUGCUGCCGGAGGAUCGGCCCGCGUCUGAUUAGCUAGUUGGUGAGGUAACGGCUCACCAAGGCGACGAUCAGUAGCUGGUCUGAGAGGAUGAUCAGCCACACUGGGACUGAGACACGGCCCAGACUCCUACGGGAAGCAGCAGUGGGGAAUAUUGGACAAUGGGCGCAAGCCUGAUCCAGACAUGCCGCGUGAGUGAUGAAGGCCUUAGGGUUGUAAAGCUCUUUUAUCCGGGACGAUAAUGACGGUACCGGAGGAAUAAGCCCCGGCUAACUUCGUG
rnacentral:rRNA from 1 species